rnacentral:rRNA from 1 species
UACGUAGGGGGCAAGCGUUGUCCGGAUUUAUUGGGCGUAAAGAGCGUGUAGGCGGUCAGGUAGGUCCGUUGUGAAAACUCGAGGCUCAACCUCGAGACGCCGAUGGAAACCAUCUGACUAGAGUCCGGAAGAGGAGAGUGGAAUUCCUGGUGUAGCGGUGAAAUGCGCAGAUAUCAGGAAGAACACCAAUGGCGAAGGCAGCUCGCUGGGACGGUACUGACGCUGAGGCGCGAAAGCGUGGGGAGCGAACAGG